AGAUCCUGCUCGUGAUCGUCUUCUCACCGAUCCACCGGGCAGGUGAAGUAACGGAAGGUCCCGCGAGGACAUGACUCGCGGGGCCUUCCG
rnacentral:ncRNA from 1 species